rnacentral:rRNA from 1 species
UACAGAGGGUGCGAGCGUUAUUCGGAAUUACUGGGUGUAAAGGGCGCGUAGGCGGCAAGAUGUGUGUGAUGUGAAAGCCCCGGGCUUAACCUGGGAAGUGCAUUGCAAACUGUCUGGCUAGAGUAUAUGAGAGGGUGGCGGAAUUUCCGGUGUAGCGGUGAAAUGCGUAGAGAUCGGAAGGAACGUCAAUGGCGAGGGCAGCCACCUGGCAUAAUACUGACGCUGAGGCGCGAAAGCGUGGGGAGCGAACAGG